UGCAAGUUGGAAAGGCCGGUAGGGAGAUGGAGGAGAGACAGUAAGCCAACAAAAUGCUUUAAACAGAAAUUAUUUUUUUCUCGCUGAGCCGUAAAGUAAUCCCUCUUCAAUGACCAACAGCACAGACCAUAAGGCUAGUAAGAUAUGGAUUAAAUAUCCUUUCAAGCAAACAGGCUACACAGGAUCCUUGAAAAUACUUUGUCAACAAUCUUCAUAGGAAUAGGACAAGUAUCUGUGUGCAAGGCGUCACCAUGUCCUUGGAAAGUCUCUGCGCAGGUGUUAAGCAACCUUGAGAGGUGCCCCUACUCAAGGGGGGAUUAUCUUGUGCGGCCAGCUGCUUGCAAGAAGAGCUCUCAAAGGAAUCCUUAGGCUGCUUCCUAUUUAUGAGAACUCUCUUUGCCAUGGAUCAUUCAUUUGGUAUAUUAUACAGUACUUUUCCUUGCAGCUAUUUAGAAAAGAAAGAAGAAAAAAAGAAGAAAAAGGAAAAAGGAAAAAAAGGAAAAGAAGAAAGCAAGAUCACAGAGGAGUUUUGGGACAUCUGACAAAAUAUCCCUGCAGCACAUGCAGUAAACAGCUUGUGGCUCCAGAACAUCUUUGAAAGUACAGCCUUGGAAGGACAGCAAAUGGAUCACCUGACAAAGUGCUGGAGCUAAGAGCUUUCAGCUCACAUGGACCUAAAAGCCAAGGUUUUACAGGGGACUUUUCCGGGUGCACACACUGCCUUAGCACACCACUUAAGCACAGCAACCUUUUCUCCAAAUCUCCAUAGGGAUCAAGAGGGAGGAUUUACUAUCACAAACAGUCCUGGGGCAUAUUAGAAAGUCUCAAAGAGAGGCAAUUAUCUAAAGAUUUUUCCUCAUUUACUUUUCACAUCAGUGCUUUGCAGCAGGCAGUUCCCCAUAUCAGCCUCUUACAGAAAUGGCAGCAGCACAUCGCAAGAAACACUUUCCUUCUGAUCAGAGAAACGUGAGCACAUGUAAGCAUUUUCAUAGGUAUUAAAAAAAAAAAAAAAAAAAAAACACA
ensembl:lncRNA